AAUACCAGCUUAGAAGCCAGCAGACCUGGCCCUGGGGUCAGCUUUGUACUCUGCUGUGUGACUUUGGGAAAGAUACCCUUGGCUCUCUGAGACCUAAUUUCUGUAAAUUGGAGAGGUGAAAAGAAUUUUUUUCUAAGGUGCUAUUACCUUCUGCUGGGAAGCUUUGCUUGGGACAGAUUAGUGUUUCCUGGAGGUCUCAUCUGGCUUUGAAAACCAACCAUCCCAAAUCAUUUCCCCAGUCAACAUGCAGGAAUCUGGGGUAUUCUGAGCUGCUAAGGAAGACAAAGACAUCCAAUGGUCUUCUGGAAACUGAGAAAGGAUAAAAGUCCAUAGGACCUUUGGUGUGAUGAAACUGGAAAGUCUACACAACCAGUCAAAAGAAAACAGGCACUGAUUUGGUGAGGGGUGGAAGCCUGUGAAUCCUGCUAGCAGCUGACAACUGGGGUUACUCACCUAUCAAGGCCAGAAAACCUGCACUGUGCCAGGCUCAUGGGGAAGUGAGGAGGGAGGUAUUUCUGGAAUCCAGAUGGAGCUCCAUACAGCAGGGCAGCUUUCUGAACCUCAGUCUUUUUGUUCACCAGAAGUGGGCACACAAACCCUUUAGAGGUGGCUUAGCAAUGGAUCCUAGGCCUCUCCAUCCUUGAGCCAUGAAGGCCUCAAGUGUCUGACACCGAUAUUGAUGAACACCUUGAGGGAUGCCACUGAGACUCCAAAAAAGAAAGACAGACUGGAGGUCCUGCAAUUUUGCAUGAAAACCAGGAAAAUACUGCUAAUUACAAACAAAGUGACAGUCACCCAGGGAAAACAUGAAUAAAUAUAUCCCAAACUCUGGGAGUUUUACUGUCGCAAAGUACUUUUAUGACCAUCUUUUGAUUCUUAAAAUAAAGGGUUCUUCCUUUUACAUAAGGAAAUAAGCCUGAGACUACCUUCCUCACCCAAGAUCAUCUCAUGGCUAUUGGCACAGUCCAGCAUCUCUGGUCCAUUUUCCUAUGACACAGAAUUUACCCUGGACCCGGCCUUAGGGGAGAGGCUCCGGUAGACGCUGUGAUCUUCAGCACAGGGUAACCCUCAAUAAGCAAGGCUACCUACUAUUUCCUCCCUUUAUCUCCCAGUGCCUUCUCUUCUCCUUCCUUGGUAGGGCACCCCGGCCUGCAUAUCAGCACGAGUUUCCCUUCCCUGCUUCUGCCCUCAGGAGACACAGAGAGUAGAAAAGGGCCUGGACCUGGACCAGACCUCCCACAAACCAUCCAGAGUAUAUUUCCAGGGCUUGAUGAUAAAGGAGUCACAACUUAACCUGGAACAUGAUCCCCAGACAAGCCUUAGAUACUUCUUUGUUGCCUUGAUUUGAAGAGCCUUGGAUCGGCCAAUUAUCGUCCCCCCAGAGGCUAUGCCUCUGCUUUCUCUGGUGGGAGGGGAAAGGUGGGAAUAGAAUCCAGGCUCAGCUGACCAGGAAUAGAAGUGGGUUGGGUAAUGGACCUACUGUGUCCUGAAUACAAUGCUAGACAUUUCACAGAUAUAACCCAUGAGGUCAGUUUCAUCACUAUAAAUUUCUAGAUGAAGAAAGUGACC